ensembl:lncRNA
GUAUAUGGGAAUUGGUGGAAUAAUGAUAUGUGUGUUGUGUGUUGUUACAGGUUUCCCAGGUUGGCAUCGGGUCUUCAUUCCCCCAGCGAAGAGGUUCGCGACCCCACCUGAGGACACCUGUUUGAGGAAAUUUGGGGGUAUUGAAUUGGACUAGGUCAAGGGGUCACGCACAAGCAUUCUGGGAUAGAUAAUCCGCUGGAGGAAUGGCUGACCUCGAUGUUCGGCCAGUGGAAAGAGGGCUUGCCAUGAGAGUGAUCUCUACAGCCAUUGAGAAGGCUCCAGGACCGCCACCAGGGAUGCUGAUGCCUCUACUGGAGCAGCAUGACCUGGGAGAACUGGAGCUUGGCGAAUAGGGGUGAUCUCUCUGGGGAGAGAUCAAAAGGGGGAAUUGUAGAUGUAUUGAUUGUAUAAGUUAGUGAACUGUUAUAAGCUGUUGUAACCAAUGAAGCAGAAUAUUAAUUGUUUGUAAUAUGAGCUGAAACUGAAGGAGCAAUAAGAGAAUAGGAAACCCUGUUUAAGCAGUUGCCGGGGAGAGAAAGAUUUAGUAUGUCUGUUUUGUGAGAAACAGGACACAGGUUAGAGACACACACACACAUAGUCUGACAGGCCAGACAGAUACCAGGAGGAGACAAGAAGAUGUUUGCGUUUAUCCUUAUAAGGAAUAGAAUUGGA